rnacentral:rRNA from 1 species
UCGUUGGGGGGGGGGCUAAUACAUGCAAGUAGAACGCUGAAGAGAGGAGCUUGCUCUUCUUGGAUGAGUUGCGAACGGGUGAGUAACGCGUAGGUAACCUGCCUUGUAGCGGGGGAUAACUAUUGGAAACGAUAGCUAAUACCGCAUAACAAUGGAUGACACAUGUCAUUUAUUUGAAAGGGGCAAUUGCUCCACUACAAGAUGGACCUGCGUUGUAUUAGCUAGUAGGUGAGGUAACGGCUCACCUAGGCGACGAUACAUAGCCGACCUGAGAGGGUGAUCGGCCACACUGGGACUGAGACACGGCCCAGACUCCUACGGGAGGCAGCAGUAGGGAAUCUUCGGCAAUGGGGGCAACCCUGACCGAGCAACGCCGCGUGAGUGAAGAAGGUUUUCGGAUCGUAAAGCUCUGUUGUAAGUCAAGAACGAGUGUGAGAGUGGAAAGUUCACACUGUGACGGUAGCUUACCAGAAAGGGACGGCUAACUACGUGCCAGCAGCCGCGGUAAUACGUAGGUCCCGAGCGUUGUCCGGAUUUAUUGGGCGUAAAGCGAGCGCAGGCGGUUUGAUAAGUCUGAAGUUAAAGGCUGUGGCUCAACCAUAGUUCGCUUUGGAAACUGUCAAACUUGAGUGCAGAAGGGGAGAGUGGAAUUCCAUGUGUAGCGGUGAAAUGCGUAGAUAUAUGGAGGAACACCGGUGGCGAAAGCGGCUCUCUGGUCUGUAACUGACGCUGAGGCUCGAAAGCGUGGGGAGCGAACAGGAUUAGAUACCCUGGUAGUCCACGCCGUAAACGAUGAGUGCUAGGUGUUGGAUCCUUUCCGGGAUUCAGUGCCGCAGCUAACGCAUUAAGCACUCCGCCUGGGGAGUACGACCGCAAGGUUGAAACUCAAAGGAAUUGACGGGGGCCCGCACAAGCGGUGGAGCAUGUGGUUUAAUUCGAAGCAACGCGAAGAACCUUACCAGGUCUUGACAUCCCGAUGCUAUUUCUAGAGAUAGAAAGUUACUUCGGUACAUCGGUGACAGGUGGUGCAUGGUUGUCGUCAGCUCGUGUCGUGAGAUGUUGGGUUAAGUCCCGCAACGAGCGCAACCCCUAUUGUUAGUUGCCAUCAUUCAGUUGGGCACUCUAGCGAGACUGCCGGUAAUAAACCGGAGGAAGGUGGGGAUGACGUCAAAUCAUCAUGCCCCUUAUGACCUGGGCUACACACGUGCUACAAUGGUUGGUACAACGAGUUGCGAGUCGGUGACGGCAAGCUAAUCUCUUAAAGCCAAUCUCAGUUCGGAUUGUAGGCUGCAACUCGCCUACAUGAAGUCGGAAUCGCUAGUAAUCGCGGAUCAGCACGCCGCGGUGAAUACGUUCCCGGGCCUUGUACACACCGCCCGUCACACCACGAGAGUUUGUAACACCCGAAGUCGGUGAGGUAACCUUUGGAGCCAGCCGCCUAAGGUGGGAAUUGAAGA